CCUACGGGAUGCAGCAGUGGGGCAUAUUGCACAAUGGGGGAAACCCUGAUGCAGCGACGCCGCGUGAGUGCAGAAGUAUUUCGGUACGUACAGCUCUAUCAGCAGGGAAGAAAAUGACGGUACCUGAGUAAGAAGCCCCUGCUAACUACGUGCCAGCAGCCGCGGUAAUACGUAGGGGGCAAGCGUUAUCCUGAUUUACUGGGUGUAAAGGGAGCGUAGACGGCAGAGCAAGUCUGGAGUGAAAUGCCAGGGCUUAACCCCGGGACUGCUUUGGAAACUGUGCAGCUGGAGUGCAGGAGAGGUAAGUGGAAUUCCUAGUGUAGCGGUGAAAGGCGUAGAUAGUAGGAGGAACACCAGUGGCGAAGGCGGCUUACUGGACUGUAACUGACGUUGAGGCUCGAAAGCGUGGGGAGCAAACAGGAUUAGAUACCCGUGUAGUC
rnacentral:rRNA from 1 species